GUCCACGCUGUAAACGAUGGAUGCUAGAUGUCGCGGGUAUUGACCCCUGCGGUGUCGACGCUAACGCAUUAAGCAUCCCGCCUGGGGAGUACGGCCGCAAGGUUAAAACUCAAAGGAAUUGACGGGGGCCCCGCACAAGCGGUGGUGCAUGUGGUUUAAUUCGACGCAACGCGCAGAACCUUACCUGGGUUCGAACGGCACUGGAAUCUCCGGGAGAUCGGGGAGCCCGCAAGGGUCGGUGUCGAGGUGCUGCAUGGCUGUCGU
rnacentral:rRNA from 1 species